GUGUGCAGUUUGACACAGUGUCAUAGAGAUCAGUGUCUACUCUACUGUCAGGCUUUGGGUUGUUCUCCAGCCAUCAAUCACUCUGUUGGAUCAUCAUGGGAAACUGUGCUUCUGGGCUAAAGAAGAAAAAGAAAGGGGAUUCUGCAGCAGGUGAUAACGACACAAACAACAAGCCUAACGAGGACGUUACAUAUGCUUCGAUUAACCACAGCACCCAAGGAUCGAGAAGAACCAGAGCCAUCACUGAUGAUAACUGUGACUAUGCCACAGUUAACAUCCCAGCAGAUCUCCAACUUGAAACUGUAUCCGAGUCCUCGUCUAAAGAAGAUUGUGCAGACGAUUAUGUACUGAUGGGAUAAAAGGAGGCAGGGGAAAAUAUGCUCUUCUGGGAUAUUGAAGGAUAAUAUCACAACAUGUUGCAGCUGAACUCUCAAAUGAAUUCAAGAUCCAGUCUUGGUUAUCACUGAAAAACUCUGGUGCGGAGGAGGGAGGGGGGUACAAACCAUCAGCAGCUGGUGGUGGAAACGUGUAGCUCUGGGGUGUUUCCUUCCACUUUUGCGGUAACCUUAAACUAGAUCUACUCCCAGGGGUUCUUUCCACAAGCAGAAAAACUUGAACUACUUUUAAUCACCUCACAGAAGAAACUUUUGAGAAUGUGAAUAUGAUUCAUACAUAAAACUAUCCAGGAAGAAGGAAGUCAAAGAAGACUUGAUCAUGAAGCCAUGCAAACACUUGAUAUCACCAAACACAUCAAUGUCUUGAAAAUCCUGUAGGUUCUGAAAUGCUACUGCUUCCUGAGAAUUACUGCACCCCAUGAUUUGUGCCAGAAUUUGUGCUUGGAGACAAUCUCUGUAAAGUACAGCCGGUGUUGUAACCUUUUUACAACGUAAUGUUACUUAUACCGAACAGACAGUACUCCACCAGCAAUGACAAAUGACUAGAAACUACCACCCAGUUGACACAAACUCAGCCUCCACAGAGCUGCACUCUGUGAAAGAUGCAGCCCUCUCUACAAUGAUGCAAUGAUGUCUGUGGAGUCAUAUUGUCCAGGGAGCAGAUCUUGGUGAGCAGUAAUAACUCCUGGUCUCCUGGUGCACUUCCCUCAAAAUGUUUCCAGACCAGGACAGUCCAGGACUGGAGGCCUGAGAACCAGCAGCAAGCGGUGAAAGCUGCACCAGUAGAUCAUUGUUCCAGUUGCUUGUUUGAUGAAUUCCCUGACAUUUCUAGAACAGCUACUUCUUCUUGCCUCUACAGUUGACUGAAGGCAGUUAAAAACGAUGCUGACUCACUGGUCCAUCUGGUGGUAAUACAUGAUUGUACAGGUGCACAGCUAGCUGAUUAGCAUGCUAAAAUCAGUUG
rnacentral:lncRNA from 1 species